GCUAUUGAUACCUCACUGUUACAGCCGUGAGCUCUGCCUCACUUGUCAACAACAGGAUAGCUGUGACAGACCUCCACAUCUUACCCAGAUGCCGUGAAGAGGAACAUUUUCUUCAUGUUAAAAAGAUACCCAGGAAACACACCCAUCUGUCUGCUGCAAGAACAUGUACAAGCUCCUUGUUUACCAGAAGAAUCUGAAGUGUUGCUGAGAACUAAAAUACGCCAAGAAAAGAAAUAAAAGAAAAUUAUGACA